rnacentral:rRNA from 1 species
AACGAACGCUGGCGGCGCGCCUAAUACAUGCAAGUCGAGCGAGAAGACGUAGCAAUACGUUUGUAAAGCGGCGAACGGGUGAGGAAUACAUGGGUAACCUACCCUCGAGUGGGGAAUAACUAGCCGAAAGGUUAGCUAAUACCGCGUACGCUCCUUGGACUUCGGUUCAGGGAGGAAAGCGAUACCGUGGGUAUCGCGCUCUUGGAUGGGCUCAUGUCCUAUCAGCUUGUUGGUGAGGUAACGGCUCACCAAGGCUUCGACGGGUAGCUGGUCUGAGAGGACGAUCAGCCACACUGGCACUGCGACACGGGCCAGACUCCUACGGGAGGCAGCAGUAAGGAAUAUUGCGCAAUGGGCGAAAGCCUGACGCAGCGACGCCGCGUGGGGGAGUGAAGGUCUUCGGAUUGUAAACCCCUUUCGGGUAGGGAAGAUGG